rnacentral:rRNA from 1 species
UACGAAGGGGGCUAGCGUUGUUCGGAAUCACUGGGCGUAAAGCGCACGUAGGCGGAUUGUUAAGUCAGGGGUGAAAUCCUGGAGCUCAACUCCAGAACUGCCUUUGAUACUGGGAAGCUUGAGUCCGGAAGAGGUGAGUGGAACUCCGAGUGUAGAGGUGAAAUUCGUAGAUAUUCGGAAGAACACCAGUGGCGAAGGCGGCUCACUGGCCCGGUACUGACGCUGAGGUGCGAAAGCGUGGGGAGCAAACGGG